rnacentral:rRNA from 1 species
ACGAACGCUGGCGGCGUGCUUAACACAUGCAAGUCGAACGGAAAGGCCCUGCUUGCAGGGUACUCGAGUGGCGAACGGGUGAGUAACACGUGGGUGAUCUGCCCUGCACUUCGGGAUAAGCCUGGGAAACUGGGUCUAAUACCGGAUAGGAGCCAUUUUUAGUGUGAUGGUUGGAAAGUUUUUUCGGUGUAGGAUGAGCUCGCGGCCUAUCAGCUUGUUGGUGGGGUAAUGGCCUACCAAGGCGGCGACGGGUAGCCGGCCUGAGAGGGUGGACGGCCACAUUGGGACUGAGAUACGGCCCAGACUCCUACGGGAGGCAGCAGUGGGGAAUAUUGCACAAUGGGCGCAAGCCGGAUGCAGCGACGCCGCGUGGGGGAUGACGGCCUUCGGGUUGUAAACUCCUUUCGCUAGGGACGAAGCUUUUUGUGACGGUACCUAGAUAAGAAGCACCGGCUAACUACGUG